rnacentral:rRNA from 1 species
CCUACGGGCGGCAGCAGUGGGGAAUAUUGGGCAAUGGGCGCAAGCCUGACCCAGCAACGCCGCGUGAAGGAAGAAGGCUUUCGGGUUGUUAACUUCUUUUGUCAGGGACGAAGCAAGCGACGGUACCUGACGAAUAAGCCUCGGCUAACUACGUGCCAGCAGCCGCGGCAAUACGUAGGGGGCAAGCGUGAUCCGGAUUUACUGGGUGUAAAGGGCGUGUAGGCGGGAAUGCAAGGCAGAUGUGAAAACCACGGGCUCAACCUGUGGCCUGCAUUUGAAACUGUAGUUCUUGAGUACUGGAGAGGCAGACGGAAUGCGUGGUGUAGCGGUGAAAUGCGUAGAUAUUAGGAAGAACACCAAUGGCGAAGGCAGUCUGCUGGACAGCAACUGACGCUGAGGCGCGAAAGCGUGGGGAGCAAACAGGAUUAGAUACCCCAGUAGUC